GACGAACGCUGGCGGCGUGGAUUAGGCAUGCAAGUCGAACGGUAUCAUCCUUUCGGGGGUGAGAGAGUGGCGAACUGGUGAGUAACACGUAGGUUAUCUACCCUCAAGACGGGGACAACCCAGGGAAACUUGGGCUAAUACCGGAUGUGAGCAACUUUUAGUUGUUUGAAAGGUGGCGUAAGCUGUCGCUUGGGGAUGAGCCUGCGUCCUAUUAGUUAGUUGGUGAGGUAACGGCUCACCUAGGCAAUGAUAGGUAGGCGGCCUUAACGGGUGGUCGCCCACACUGGGAUUGAGAUACGGCCCAGACUCCUACGGGAGGCAGCAGUCGAGAAUAGUCUACAAUGGUCGGAAGACUGAUAGUGCGACGCCGCGUGAACGAUGAAUCCCUUCGGGGUGUAAAGUUCUUUUAUAUGUGAGCAGUGCUUCUUAUAUUAACAGUAUGGGGAGAGAGGUAUUAGCAUAUGAAUAAGCAACGGCUAACUCCGUGCCAGCAGCCGCGGUAAAAGUGU
rnacentral:rRNA from 1 species